CGGCGGACGGGUGAGUAACACGUGGAUAACCUACCUAUAAGACUGGGAUAACUUCGGGAAACCGGAGCUAAUACCGGAUAAUAUAUUGAACCGCAUGGUUCAAUAGUGAAAGACGGUUUUGCUGUCACUUAUAGAUGGAUCCGCGCCGCAUUAGCUAGUUGGUAAGGUAACGGCUUACCAAGGCAACGUUGCGUAGCCGACCUGAGAGGGUGAUCGGCCACACUGGAACUGAGACACGGUCCAGACUCCUACGGGAGGCAGCAGAC
rnacentral:rRNA from 1 species